rnacentral:rRNA from 1 species
GACGAACGCUGGCGGCGUGCUUAACACAUGCAAGUCGAACGGAAAGGCCCGCUUGCGGGUGCUCGAGUGGCGAACGGGUGAGUAACACGUGGGUAACCUGCCCCCUGCUUCGGGAUAACUCCGGGAAACCGGGGCUAAUACCGGAUAUUCAUUGCUGGCCGCAUGGUUGGUGGUGGAAAGUUUUUCGGCUGGGGAUGGGCCCGCGGCCUAUCAGCUUGUUGGUGGGGUGAUGGCCUACCAAGGCUUCGACGGGUAGCCAGCCUGAGAGGGCGACCGGCCACACUGGGACUGAGACACGGCCCAGACUCCUACGGGAGGCAGCAGUGGGGAAUAUUGCGCAAUGGGCGGAAGCCUGACGCAGCGACGCCGCGUGAGGGAUGACGGCCUUCGGGUUGUAAACCUCUUUCAGCAGGGACGAAUUGUGACGGUACCUGUAGAAGAAGCACCGGCCAACUACGUGCCAGCAGCCGCCGUAA